rnacentral:rRNA from 1 species
CCCUAUGGGGUGCAGCAGGCGCGAAACCUCCUCAAUGCACUAAAGUGCGAAGGGGUUACCUCGAGUGCUAUCUGAAGAAGGUGGCUUUUACAUUGUCUAACCAGCUAUGUGAAUAAGAGGGGGGCAAGACUGGUGUCAGCCGCCGCGGUAACACCAGCCCCUCGAGUGGUGGGGAUGAUUAUUUGGCCUAAAGCGUCCGUAGCCGGCCAUGUAAGUCUCCCGUUAAAUCCAGCGUCCUAAGCGUUGGACUGCGGGAGAUACUGUAUGGCUAGAGGGUGGGAGAGGUCAGCGGUAUUCUGGGGGUAGGGGCGAAAUCCUUUGAUCCCCGGAGGACCACCAGUGGCGAAGGCUGCUGACUAGAACACGCCUGACGGUCAGGGACGAAAGCUGGGGUAGCGAACCGGAUUAGAUACCCGGGUAGUCCCAGCCGUAAACGAUGCAUGCUAGGUGUUGGGUCGGCCACGAGCCGCCCCAGUGCCGCAGGGAAGCCGUUAAGCAUGCCGCCUGGGGAGUACGGCCGCAAGGCUGAAACUUAAAGGAAUUGGCGGGGGAGCACCACCAGGCGUGAAGCCUGCGGUUUAAUUGGAGUCAACGCCGGGAACCUUACCGGGAGCGACAGCAGAGUGAAGGCCAAGUUGAAGACCUUGCCAGACAAGCUGAGAGGUGGUGCAUGGGCC